UGGCUAACUCCGUGCCAGCAGCCGCGGUAAUACGGAGGGGGCUAGCGUUAUUCGGAAUUAUUGGGCGUAAAGGGCGCGUAGGCUGGUUAAUAAGUUAAAAGUGAAAUCCCGAGGCUUAACCUUGGAAUUGCUUUUAAAACUAUUAAUCUAGAGAUUGAAAGAGGAUAGAGGAAUUCCUAAUGUAGAGGUGAAAUUCGUAAAUAUUAGGAGGAACACCAGUGGCGAAGGCGUCUAUCUAGUUCAAAUCUGACGC
rnacentral:rRNA from 1 species